GACGAACGCUGGCGGCGUGCUUAACACAUGCAAGUCGAACGGAAAGGCCCUGCUUUUGUGGGGUGCUCGAGUGGCGAACGGGUGAGUAACACGUGAGUAACCUGCCCUUGACUUUGGGAUAACUUCAGGAAACUGGGGCUAAUACCGGAUAGGAGCUCCUGCUGCAUGGUGGGGGUUGGAAAGUUUCGGCGGUUGGGGAUGGACUCGCGGGUUAUCAGCUUGUUGGUGGGGUAGUGGCUUACCAAGGCUUUGACGGGUAGCCGGCCUGAGAGGGGGACCGGCCACAUUGGGACUGAGAUACGGCCCAGACGCCUACGGGAGGCAGAAGUGGGGAAUAUUGCACAAUGGGCGGAAGCCUGAUGCAGCAACGCCGCGUGCGGGAUGACGGCCUUCGGGUUGUAAACCGCUUUCGCCUGUGACGAAGCGUGAGUGACGGUAAUGGGUAAAGAAGCACCGGCUAACUACGUG
rnacentral:rRNA from 1 species